rnacentral:rRNA from 1 species
UACGUAGGGGGCAAGCGUUGUCCGGAUUUAUUGGGCGUAAAGAGCGUGUAGGCGGCCUGACAAGUCUGCUGUGAAAACUCGAGGCUCAACCUCGAGAUGUCGGCGGAAACUGUCUGGCUAGAGUCCGGAAGAGGAGAGUGGAAUUCCUGGUGUAGCGGUGGAAUGCGCAGAUAUCAGGAGGAACACCAAUAGCGAAGGCAGCUCGCUGGGACGUUUACUGACACUGAGAUGCGAAAGCGUGGGGAGCAAACAGG